rnacentral:rRNA from 1 species
CUACGGGUUGCUCCAGUGAGGAAUAUUGCACAAUGGGGGGAACCCUGAUGCAGCAACGCCGCGUGGAGGAUGACGCAUUUCGGUGUGUAAACUCCUUUUAUAUGUCAAGAAAAUGACGGUAGCAUAUGAAUAAGCACCGGCGUAACUCCGUGCCAGCAGCCGCGGUAAUACGGAGGGUGCAAGCGUUACUCGGAAUCACUGGGCGUAAAGGACGCGUAGGCGGGUUGAAAAGUCAGGUGUGAAAUCCUACAGCUUAACUGUAGAACUGCACUUGAAACUUCUAAUCUAGAGUAUGGGAGGGGGAGAUGGAAUUAGUGGUGUAGGGGUAAAAUCCGUAGAUAUCACUAGGAAUACCUAAAGCGAAGGCGAUCUCCUGGAACAUUACUGACGCUAAGGCGUGAAAGCGUGGGGAGCAAACAGGAUUAGAUACCCUAGUAGUC